CGCGUGAGUAACCUGCCUUGGAGUGGGGAAUAACACAUCGAAAGAUGUGCUAAUACCGCAUAAUGCAGUUGGGCCGCAUGGCUCUGACUGCCAAAGAUUUAUCGCUCUGAGAUGGACUCGCGUCUGAUUAGCUGGUUGGCGGGGUAACGGCCCACCAAGGCGACGAUCAGUAGCCGGACUGAGAGGUUGACCGGCCACAUUGGGACUGAGACACGGCCCAGACUCCUACGGGAGGCAGCAG
rnacentral:rRNA from 1 species